ACGGAAGGCAGCAGUGAGGAAUAUUGGUCAAUGGACGCAGGUCUGAACCAGCCAAGUCGCGUGAGGGAUGGCGGUCCUAUGGAUUGUAAACCUCUUUUGUCGGGGAGUAACGUGCGGUACGUGUACCGUAUUGAGAGUACCCGAAGAAAAAGCAUCGGCUAACUCCGUGCCAGCAGCCGCGGUAAUACGGGGGAUGCGGGCGUUAUCCGGAUUUAUUGGGUUUAAAGGGUGCGCAGGCGGCGCGUCAAGUCAGCGGUAAAAUGGCGGUGCUCAACGCCGGCCGGCCGUUGAAACUGUCGUGCUCGAGUUCGUGCGAGGAGAGCGGAAUGCGUGGUGUAGCGGUGAAAUGCAUAGAUAUCACGCAGGACGCCGAUUGCGAAGGCAGCCCUCCAGCACUGGACUGACGCUGAAGCACGAAAGCGUGGGUAUCGAACAGGAUUAGAUACCCUGGUA
rnacentral:rRNA from 1 species